ensembl:snRNA U1 U1 spliceosomal RNA
AUACUUACCUGGCAGGGGAGAUACCAUGAUCACGAAGGUGGUUGUCCCAGGGCGAGGUUUAUCCAUUGCACUCCGGAUGUGCUGACCCCUGCAAUUUCCCCAAAUGUGGGAAACUUGACUGCAUAAUUUGUUGUAGUUGGGGACUGCGUUCACGCUAGAAA